rnacentral:lncRNA from 1 species
GGAAGUUCAGCUUUUCCUUGGUCCUUGCUGAUAUGGAUAUUGGGGGAGGCAGAGUAUCAUUGAAUAGAGUGUCAUGUCAUAUUGCCUCAUUCUGCCCUGUUGCUGCAUGGUGGAAGCAGAAGACAGAAAAUCAAGAUUCCCCUUGGUCCCGCUGAUACGGGGAAGGAGUUUCACCCCAUAGCCACAACAGCUAGUAAUGUUCUGAGUUUCACCUGAAGCCAGCAAGUCUCAGAGGCUCACCCAAGACCCUGGAUGUAGGACCUGGGUAUCGGUUCUGAUUAAGACCGAAGAGUUCUUCAGUUAGCAGAUACAGCAUGCUUGGAAAUGUGGAAAAUGAUCUGGAAGGGGAGAAAAGAGGGCAGAGAGACCUUUUCAGAAGUUGGUGUGAUGUUCCAUGCAAGUAAUGGUGAGGACUUGAAUUGGGGUAGAAGCACGACCACAAAAUAGCCUGCUAACAACUGUGUAAACACUGAACCACAACAGCACUGGACCAUGUGGUUGAUUCCCCAAGAGGUAUUUUCAGAUGGGUUGACUUUAUUGUGUCUCUUUUUAUAUACUACAAUGUCACUUUUACACAUUUCAAAAAUCAUGUCAGUGGUGUGGCACACAUUGGAAGGUCUGGUCUCAGAAGUGUAAAAAGCAUGGAGCACUUCAGCUUGCAACCAGCUGUCAUCCUGGAUUCUCCUCAGAGGAAGCCAAAAGUACUACACUUCAAACAAGCUUUUUGAAAAAAGGCCAAUGUAUGCAUUGUGCUUGGUAUGGCUACGGGAGAGUAGUGAGUUAGACUUCGAAAACUACUGCAAGUAGUGUCUAUGCUAAUAGAUACCUAGACCCCUUUGUCACCAGCAUUUAGGGUUGAUCGUGAUCUAUUUCAAUGCUAUGAUGUAAUAAUACAUUUUGAAAAUUAUUCUUAAGAUUUAAACAUUUUUCUGAUCAUUAAAGAUGUAUUUGUGUUGUGGAAAAUGUAUAACAAAUGCUAAUCAUACAUAACAAUAUUUACUGAAUGCUAACACCAUGUGAAAGACACUGUGCUAUGCACAUUGCAUACAUUAUUUAAUGUAUCCUCAUAGUAGUCCCGUGAGAUAGAUACUUUUACAUUCUCCAUUUUUAGGUAAGAAAACAGACUCAAAGUGACUUGCUCAAGUUUACAUAGCUAGUACAUGGUAGAGCUAGAAUUUGUGGCCCAUUCUGUCCAGCUCUAAAGUUUGCAUCUGUUUUUAACUUUUUUCUUAAUUAAAAAGAGAUAAAUAUGCACAUAGAGAAAAACCUACUUUUUAUUUCACCAUCCAGAGGCAAACACUACUAAUAUUCUGGCACAUUUUCUUCCUGCCUUUCUUGGAUAUUUUUUAAAAUUUUAUAUUUGAGAGAUAACAGACUUUAAAGGAAAUGUGAAACUCUUCCCUCACCAUUCGGUGAAUGGAAUGAUAUAAGGAGGUAAGUGGAAUUACUCUAGUAGGUAAAUAAAUAAUAAAUGAAUAAAUAAAUAAGAGGCUUGGUGCAGUGGCUCCUCCCUU